CCCAUAAUUUACUAUUAAUUAAAAGUGAUCUAACACUUAUCAUCCCUUUGUUAAAUUAGUCUACAGAACAACCCAAAAUUAACGCACUACAACCUUCAUUCAAUAAUUAGGUCAUGAUAACAAAUACAAAACAUCAAAUCAAAAGACUUAGCUGUCAAUUUGACUAGGCGGAAUGGAACACAAGUCAUUUGAAAACCCCCAAAAGUAGAAAUUGGUGAGAAAUUGAUUAACCAAUGUCUUAGGUGCAUGCAAACAUAGCUCCCACCAAUUACUAGUCUUGGAUCCUCUUCUCAAACACACAAAUAACAAUGAAGGAUAAAGAGUUUUCAUCAAAAU
rnacentral:lncRNA from 1 species